AAGCUGUUGGUCGUAUUUCUUUCAAAGAAGAAGAGAAAGAACACUCACUCUCAAAAGGAGACACGGAACCAGCCAAAACUCAAAAUUCUCGUCCCUAAAGGUCACGUUUUGGCAGAAAUUAUCAGUAAUAAUAACCUUUCACGUUCCGUGGCGUGACGCUGACUGCCGCGUAACUGUUAGGAGGUGGGCGCGCGGCCUGCUAGCUGCUGUGCUAACAGCGCUGAGGCCCGACUACUGCGAAACCCGGUUCUGUUGAAGAAAUGGGCCGGGGAGAUGGACCAGGACGGGGCAGGCCUUUAGGAGAAAGCGGGCCUCCUUUUAGAGGUCCGCCGGAUUGGGGACCUCCACCUCCUGGGGGUUGGGGACCCCCACCUCCCGGGGGAUGGGGUCCUCCGCCUGAAGAGUGGGGCCCACCUCCUCAUGGAGGAUGGGGUUCGAGAGGACCUCCACACUGGGAUCAUAGGGGGCCUCCCCAUCCCUACUGGGACAUGCCAGCCCUCCCUCCUCCUGACUGGGAUCCAAGGGGCCCCCCACCUCCUGACUGGGAUCCAAGGGCCCCCCCACCUCCUGACUGGGAUCCACGUGGUCCCCCACCACCACGGGAUUGGUAUUCCAGAGAACCCCUGCCUCCGGGCUGGGGGGCUCACCCCGAAGACUGGAUUCCUCCACCUGAGUGGGAUCGUCUGGACUGGAGACAUCCAGAGUGGGGUCGUCAUGGCCCCCCUGGGCCAUGGGGGCCUGAGCCUGUUCCUCCAGUCCCCCCAAUUCCUCCAGUUCAAUCGGUUCCACCAGGAGCGGUGCCACCUGUGGUACCCCCAGUUGUGCCCCCGCCCCCAGGUAUACCCCCACAUCCUGCUAACCCCGUAGCCUGUCCUCCAGUGAUGCCUCCUGGGUUUGGCUUCCCUCCCUUCCCUCCCACUUCAGGCUGGACCGGAGAGGCCGUUGCGGAGGAACCAAUGCUGAACCCACCUCCAGAGCAGCCUGAAUGGAUUAAAGCUCUGAUUUCUGCUCCUCCUGCUGACGUGACACCAACAGAACCUAAAGCCAGCACUGAGGUACCAGCUGUUACCAAAGUCCCUGAUCCUGUUCCCCCUCUUUCCCCUGCACUUGAGCCCACCCCCAAACCAAAAGUAGAGGGGAAGACAGCCAAAUUCUUGGGCCUGCUGGGAAAACGCACCUUUGACAAGCCCCCCCCAGGACGCUCUUCUGGGAUCAUCUCCUUCAUCGGGCCCACGUUUGGACAUAUUGAGAGGGAAGACCUGAAGACGUUCACCUUCAAAUUUGACGUCUUUUUUGGAAACCCUAAAGCAAUGACUCCUGGGGUCCGGGUCCACUUCACCGCCUGUGAGGAGAAACUGAACCGUUGCGUAGCUACAGAUGUGAAAGUUGCUCCCGGAGGUACGGAGAACGUGGACAUGGAGAUCUACGAAGCCGUGGUCAGUCAGCCCAUUCUGGAGCCUCAGCCUGGGGAGCGCCAAUACCCGGGUCAGGUUUAUGUGACCAUCGGACCGGUCCGAACCAACCUACCUUUUGAGAGGAAGGACAGCACAGUGUCACUGCUGAAGAAUGAUCAGGUUCUGAUCAACCUGCUGACGGACAUCGUGACAGAGAAACGCAGAGCCACCAACAUCAAACCUAAGAUUCCUGCCACCUUUAGCCACACCAACGAGAUCCGAGAGAAGGGCGUCAUCUUCAGCCUGAAGGACACCACUGGCAUAAUCAAAUCAGACGAACACGGCGAUCUCCCUUUUGAAACCGGAGAGAACCUGAGUGACAUCGAGUUCACGGAGGAGGACAUCAGCGAGGAGGUGGAGUUCACCGUCAUCCAGCUGAAAGUAGGAAAACGCGCCAUCAGAAUCAAGCGCUCCAAGGAGCCCCUCCUCUUGACGCUCUGCGCUCCUGAAGAUGUUGACAAAUCUGCCUACAAGAUCCAGAAGAAGGCCAGCCGCCAGAUAGACAUAGGUCCCAACAUGGUUCUGGACUCAGAGCUGUACGAAGGCAUUGUCAGCCAGCCUAUCAUUGAACCCAAGCCUAACAUGCCGGGUUAUCCGGGCCAGAUCCAUGCCAACAUCGGCCCCAUCAAGACCAACGUGACCUUUGACCACAAAGACUGUGGCGUCACGCUUUUGAAGAACGACCACGUGCUGAUCAACCUGCUGCUAGACACGGUGACAAAGAGGCGGAGAGCUGCCAACAUCAGACCCAAGAUCCCCUUCACCUUCAGCUACACCAAGGAGACCAGAGAGCUGGGAACCAUUGUCUCUCUGAGUGCCGACGAAGGUGUGAUCAAGUCAGAUCAGCACGGUGAACUUCCCUUCGACCUCAACGAGAACUUCAGUGACACAGAGUUCACUGCUGAUGAUGUCCACCAGGAGGUGGAGUUCACUGUGAGCCAGAAGAAUGAGGCGAAGAGAGCCAUCAGGCUCCGGAGGAUGAAGAAAAACCAAGACAAAAUCCUGCUGGAACAGAAAAAACGGGAUGAAGAGGAGAAGAAGAAAGAGGCAGAGGAAAGGAAGCGCAGGGAAGCGGAGGAGCUUGAGGCAGAGAAGAAGAAGAAGGAGGAGGCAGCUGCUGCGCUGGCAGCUGCCAAAAACAAGUGGACACCUUUUGGCUUCAAAUUUCAAAUUCCCAACUCCAUGGACGAGAUCAGCAAGGAGCGGUUCGACGGCACAAUCCUUAAAGCCAUUUCCAGAAUCCCCAUAAAAGAGAUGAAGACAGAUCCAGAGGAGACCAGACAGAUUAAAAUAAAAGUAGACAAAGGCGAUGAACAGCAGGAGGAAGCAGCCGAAGCUGAGGAGAUGAAGAAUGUAAAAAAAGAAGAGGGUGAUGAUGGUCCGGUGAAGAACGAGGCACCAGAGACUGGAAUUCAAGCAGAUGCAGAGAUGGGGCGACUGGUGAUGACCAUCGACGGAGAGCAGAAGCAGCUUCCCUUCCGUCAGAGAGACCUGCUGAGCACGGCCACCAUGCUGGUUGGGGACAAGGUGCGCUUCAACAUCGCCACUCAUCGGGAGACCAAAGAGGAACGAGCGACAUUUGUGGAAAUCCUUCACGACUCCUUUGAGGAGUCCACGGAGCAGCGUCACUUUGGGCUUGUCAUCGAGUUCUCUGACGGGUCUGGACUCAUCAAGUGCUCUCAAAACCCCCAGCUCUUCUUCGCCAUGUCAGAAGUCAUAGAGAAAAAAAAGCUGGAGCUGAAUGAGAAAGUGGAGUUCAGCAUCGUACCGCAUGACUCUGCAGAGGGGGGCAUCCAAGCUAUCAGGAUCAAGCGGUUCACUGAGAAGAUGUUCCUCCCAGCUCGGAAACUUUGUGCCGUGGGGGCAAACAAAGGAAAGAUGACCAUCAAGCUGACACCACCCUCAAAGGAAAACGAGAAAACCAAACCAGAGGCAGAGAAGCUAAAGACGGUGGUGAAAAAUCUGAGAAAGGAUUACAACACUACCAGGAUCAAGUACAGCAGGAGCAGGAGCAGAAGUGCUAGCAGGAGCAGAGCAAAGAGUAGGAGUCCACCUAAAGACCAGUAUGGACGAGUUAUUCAAAGGAGGCGCAGCCCAAGCAUCGAGCGCAGAGCUAAAAGGUAUAGGAGCAGAGAGUCGCAUCGGCGGAGUCGCUCCAAGAGCCGCAGCAGGAGCCGCUCCAAGAGCCGAAGCAGGAGCCGCUCCAAGAGCCGCAGCAGGAGCCAGGAAAGGUCCACAAAGAGGAGGAGCAAAAACAGCAGAGACCGUGAGGAAAGUCGCAGGGGAAGGCGUGAACCCAGCCCCCCCAGGAAAGGUGGGGUUGUGGACAGUGAGCUGGCGAGAAAGAAGCGGGAACUGGAGGAGCUGAAUGAGAUGAUUGCUUACAAGAAGGCCCUAGUGGAGAUCGACCCCCGAGGACUGGAACCUGGACAGAGGACCUGCAUAGAUUAUGACCACGGUAGAAUCUCCACGCCAAGGUCCAUACUGAAGAAAAGACCAGCUGAGCCAGAGUACCUCCUGCACCCUCCUUACGAUGAUCCCUACUAUGACCGACUGUAUGAUCCUUACCACAGCCGGCGGUACAGUAAUCCCUACAGUGACCCAUAUGGACGGGACGUGUACACUGAGGGCCCUUAUGAAAGCCGCCUAUACAGUGAGCCUCCGCUUGCAGGUCCUGCUUCCACCAGCCGCCGUUACACAGAUCGCUACGAGGUUUAUGAUGAACCCUACGAUGACCAUUACUAUGAUCGGCAACACGAUCUGCACCCUCCCCACAAACGAAGCCGGUCUCCAGUGCCCUACCGUUCUUCCCCUCCACCUCAAUCUCAGCAAGUUUCGUCUGUUUCGUCUAAGCCUCAACCGUCUUUCCAACAUGCCUUCAGGCCUCCUUCUCCCAUAGAUUCCCCUCCUCGUAGCCCCUCCCCCAAACCAAAAGUUUUAACACCUCAACAGUGUCCUCCAGCUGAGAAACCGCCGCUGGAUCGAUUCCUGGACAUGCUUAGCAAGAAGGUUGAUGCUAAGAAGAAACCGGAGCCGGACGACCUCCUCCCUCACGAGCGCGCCCUUCAGGAUGGAGGGGGCUUUUCCCGAAUUGUGGGAUUAGCACAGGAGCCAACAGGCAUCAGUCUGCCCCUGGAAGAGAAAGGGGACCAGCCCAGUCUGAAACGGUCUUCAGAGGAAAGAACAACUGAGAAACAAAAGGUAGAACCUUACGACAAAAUCCAGAGUCUGCUGCGUAGCAUUGGCCUAAAGUUGAGCUCAGGAGAUGUGUCCACGCUCGCCAGCCGAGCCCAGGAGAAAAAUUAUAGCUUCAAGUCCUCUUCAACAGAAAGAGAGGCCGUCUCUGUCAAAGAAGAGCCUUCUGGGAACAGUAGCAGUGCUGCUGAGCUGACCUCCUCUGUCAGAUCUUCCAGCAUGGAGCCCCUUAGCAGACAGAAAACCUCUGUGUCUGAGUAUGAAGACUUCCUGGACCAGCAAGAGCUGGCGACCCUGAAGAAGGUGCAGCAACUGCAGAGUCUCACCAAGACAGCAGUGAACAGUCCAACCUCCACCCCUUCUCCAAAACCACCUCCAGGCCCUCCCCCUGCUAAUUACAAGCAUCCACCUGUGCCACUCAAUUGGCCACUGAGCAUGACCCCACAGGUUUCACAGACCUCCUCCUGCAGCAGCACAGAUAUUUCUGGUUCCACUGAAGCUGCUCAACCUCGGCAAAAGUUGGGUCUUCCUCCUGGUCCUCCCCCAGGACACCCUCCAAGGCGGCCUCUUCAGCCUCCCCCAGGGCCCCCUCCAGGACCCCCGCCCCGGCGCCCUCUUGGUCAACCUCUUUUUGCUCCACCCUCCACCCGGUCAGCCCUUCCUUUCAUUGAACAAUCUAAUGAAGCUUCAGCCCCCAGCUCCUCGUCACAUCUCCUCACGACAGCAGAAACCUCCAGUGUCCAGUCCAUGUCCACCACGGUGGCGCGCUGCCUGAAGGUGAUCGAGACUGUAAAAUCUCUGAGCACGCAGCCCGCCACCAAGCCUGCAAAAUCUGUCCAGUUCAGUCUGCCGACAGGGAUGGGGGCCAACCCAUUGUCUUCUGCAGACACUGAAGACAACCUGAGAUCCAAGCAUGUGGAGAAGCUGGAUCCACACUGCCAGAGAGCAGAACAGCAGUUCAAGAAGCAUGGAGACCAUAUUGCGGAUGGACCCAUUUCUGCAGAUACUGAUGCUGGAAGAACAAAACUCCUUUGAAAAACCAGGAAACUUAAUACGAUCCAUCACGCACUAAGGACCAGGCCCCAGAGCAUCGGUGAAGAUUUGUGGACUGAGACUAUACCUUACAUCAUGUACUGCAGACUUCUUCAUGGAUCCAGAGAAGCUGUGAAGCAGUGCCAUUCAUCAGAGGGAUUGCACUGAAGAAGGAGACUUCAACUGCCUCUUUGAGGGAGCGUGUCCUCUCCUCCUCUGAGGCAUCUUUUUACAUUUCUGUCUAUAGUGAAAGGUUGGUUCAGUAAAGUCUGUGUCAGAGGAUCAGAUCAGAUCAAAGGAUGGUUGCGGUAAAAAAUUGGUAUCACCUAAGACAGAUUUAGACAUUUAUGUGAAAUUGUUUAUGAAUCUGAUUUUCUGAUCUAUUUUCCUGCUGUGUUUAAAGCCAUACCAGAGCUUUUUACAAAGAAAAACACACUUUGAAGAGCAAUUUUCUUCAAAUUGGUGUUUAUUUUGAACGUAACUCAUAAAAACAUGUACAAAAUCAAUACUUUAAGAAAAAAAAAGAGGAAUAGCGUGUCUGUGUGCAUGUUCCCAGGGUGCUGCCUGGGGAAAAAUAACCCAUUUUCCGGCAGUACUGGACAUGAAGUCCAUGUGAUCCAGUUUUGGAGUGUUCAGUCAUCACAGAGCAGCAGCUGCGAGUCUAGAAAAUGAAGUAGAGACGGAAGCACCUCUACAUCACAUGUUGGAUCAAGAGAGGAUUUAGGUGACAGUCCUGUGGGUCAGGAACGGUUGAAUGAUCACACAAGGACAGGACUUCUACGUCCCUGACUAGUUCACGACGAACGGAACAAAGGCUGUAAACUGGAAUCUAUUGACCAGGUAGUAGAGAGGAAGAUGCUCGCAAAACUGAGAUCCAUCUUGGGUAACCCCUCUCACCCUUUGCUCCACACUGCAGUGGCUCUAAGCAGGAAGUGCCGUCAUUCAUUCUUGCCGUCAGACCAUUCAAGUGGUGCAUGUAAGUGCAUUUUAUUUACAAUUGUAAAUAUGACGGGUGUUGUUUGUUGAUCCUAUGGAUCCUGUUCUUGUAACUUUUUUUCCAGCUGCUGGAACUUCCCCACUAUAGGAUCAAUAAAUUAUUUUACUCUAAAAA